AACGCACCUUGCGCUCCCUGGUAUUCCGGGGAGCACGCCUGUUCGAGUGUCAUGAAACUCUCAAGCAAGAUAGAUUUGUUUCUAUCUCUGUUUGGAUUUGGACUUUGCUGUGUCAAUGCAGCUGGUCUUAAAUGCAUUAGCUGGUCCUGACGAAGGUUUGGUUCUACUCAGCGUGAUAAUUAUCUAACGUUGAGGACAGUUCUCUUGGACUGGCCAGGCUCUCUUUGGAUUGCUUCUAAUCAUCUUCGGAUAAUUGCUUAAUAUCUGACCUCGAAUCAGGUGGGACUACCCGCUGAACUUAA
rnacentral:misc_RNA from 1 species